AGUGAACGCUGGCGGUAGGCCUAACACAUGCAAGUCGAACGGCAGCACAGUAAGAGCUUGCUCUUACGGGUGGCGAGUGGCGGACGGGUGAGGAAUACAUCGGAAUCUACUUUUUCGUGGGGGAUAACGUAGGGAAACUUACGCUAUUACCGCAUACGACCUACGGGUGAAAGCAGGGGAUCUUCGGACCUUGCGCGAUUGAAUGAGCCGAUGUCGGAUUAGCUAGUUGGCGGGGUAAAGGCCCACCAAGGCGACGAUCCGUAGCUGGUCUGAGAGGAUGAUCAGCCACACUGGAACUGAGACACGGUCCAGACUCCUACGGGAGGCAGCAGUGGGGAAUAUUGGACAAUGGGCGCAAGCCUGAUCCAGCCAUACCGCGUGGGUGAAGAAGGCCUUCGGGUUGUAAAGCCCUUUUGUUGGGAAAGAAAAGCAGCAGGUUAAUACCCCGCUGUUCUGACGGUACCCAAAGAAUAAGCACCGGCUAACCUCGUG
rnacentral:rRNA from 1 species